rnacentral:rRNA from 1 species
GACGAACGCUGGCGGCGUGCUUAACACAUGCAAGUCGAGCGAUGAAGCACCUUCGGGUGUGAAUUAGCGGCGAACGGGUGAGGAACACGUGAGAAAUCUGCCUUCAACUCUGGGAUAACUCCGUGAAAACGGGGCUAAUACCGGAUAUGAAACCUGCGGGCAUCCGCGUGUUUGGAAAGUUUUUCGGUUGAAGAUGAUCUCGCGGCCUAUCAGCUUGUUGGUGAGGUAAUGGCUCACCAAGGCGACGACGGGUAGCCGGCCUGAGAGGGCGACCGGCCACACUGGGACUGAGACACGGCCCAGACUCCUACGGGAGGCAGCAGUGGGGAAUAUUGGGCAAUGGAGGAAACUCUGACCCAGCGACGCCGCGUGCGGGAUGAAGGCCUUCGGGUUGUAAACCGCUUUCAGCAGGGAAGAAGCGAAAGUGACGGUACCUGCAGAAGAAGCACCGGCUAACUAUGUGCCAGCCGCCGCUGUAA